rnacentral:rRNA from 1 species
AUGAACGCUGGCGGCGUGCCUAAUCCAUGCAAGUCGAGCGAACGGACGAGAAGCUUGCUUUUCUGAUGUUAGCGGCGGACGGGUGAGUAACACGUGGAUAACCUACCUAUAAGACUGGGAUAACUUCGGGAAACCGGAGCUAAUACCGGAUAAUAUUUUGAACCGCAUGGUUCAAAAGUGAAAGACGGUCUUGCUGUCACUUAUAGAUGGAUCCGCGCUGCAUUAGCUAGUUGGUAAGGUAACGGCUUACCAAGGCAACGAUGCAUAGCCGACCUGAGAGGGUGAUCGGCCACACUGGAACUGAGACACGGUCCAGACUCCUACGGGAGGCAGCAGUAGGGAAUCUUCCGCAAAGGGCGAAAGCCUGACGGAGCAACGCCGCGUGAGUGAUGAAGGUCUUCGGAUCGUAAAACUCUGUUAUUAGGGAAGAACAUAUGUGUAAGUAACUGUGCACAUCUUGACGGUACCUAAUCAGAAAGCCACGGCUAACUACGUG